UAUUAGGUUGGUGCAAAAGUGAUUGCGGUUUUUGCCAUUGAAAAUAAUGGCAAAACCCUCAAUUACUUUUGCACCAUCCUAAUA
rfam:Nomascus leucogenys chromosome 2, whole genome shotgun sequence.